rnacentral:rRNA from 1 species
UACGUAGGUGACAAGCGUUGUCCGGAUUUACUGGGCGUAAAGAGCGCGCAGGCGGUCGAUCAAGUCGAGUGUGAAAGCCCCCGGCUCAACUGGGGAGGGUCAUUCGAUACUGAUCGACUCGAAGGCAGGAGAGGGUAGUGGAAUUCCGAGUGUAGAGGUGAAAUUCGUAGAUAUUCGGAGGAACACCAGUGGCGAAGGCGGCUCACUGGCUCGAUACUGACGCUGAGGUGCGAAAGCGUGGGGAGCAAACAGG